ACGGAAAGCUCAGUAGAGUGUUAAUUUUUUGAAUUAAUGGGAUUGAACGUG
rnacentral:tRNA from 1 species